GGAGCACCUUUGUGGUGCGCCGCCUGGCCUCAAAAUGUCAGUGUGCCAGCCCUGAUUAGAGGCAGAGCUGCUAGUACACGCUGGCUUUAUUCUGUCUAGAGCAAAGGCAGAUGAAAAGAGCAAAAUUUUGGCAGCUGCAGGUGAAUUGUUAAAAUGGGCAGGAUUAGCAGUGUGCCCAGGUUCGUGGUGGAUGCUGCCAGCCGAGCAAUUCUGCAAUUCUAGCAGCAAUUUCUGCUGCUGCUGUGCCCUUCUGUAGAAAAACUUGGAGACAAUUGUCUUUAUAUCUUGAUUCCAGAUGCUGGGGAAGGUGGGACUCACCUUGUCGGGGUUAAGAAACCUCUUGGUGGAAGGAUUUGGGAAGAAAAGCCUUUCCAAUUAGGUUGCAGAGCAGCCUUGCCCAAAUAACCACAGCAGGACCUAGGGCUUAAUUCUAAUUUAGGAGCAUUAAGCAAGUGGCUGACGUGCUCGAGCUGCGCGUGCUCUGUUGCCAAAACACGGGGGUUUGGCCAGCUGGGAAACAGAAGCAUCAAAGAUCCACCCAGUUUGUUUGUGCUGGGGCUGAUUUCAGAGCUAUAAAUACGCCGUGAUCGAGCGCUGUGGUUGCAGGAGACCUAUUUCAGUCUGCACGGGCUCGCCAGGUGUUUGUUUGGAUGGAGGAGGAUGGACAGAAUUACUUCAGCUUUGGCUACCAGCCUCCACGGCAGCCACUGAGAUGGCAAUGAAGCGUGCCCUGGUGGUGUGUAUUUGCACUCAGCGCUUCAACGUGACACCAAGGGACUAAUCUGGGCCUGCUUCAUCCCAGCUAUCAGAAAGCUGAGCAAACCGUGUGUGUUACUUUUACACCUAACCAUUAUAACCCCAGGAGCCUUUUCCAGUUUCAAAUAAUAAUAAUAAAAAAAAAGGUUUUGUGAACUCA
rnacentral:lncRNA from 1 species